rnacentral:rRNA from 1 species
CAUGUCUCAGUACUUGCUUUUACAAGGCGAAACCGCGAAUGGCUCAUUAAAUCAGUUAUGGUUCACUAGAUCGUAAAUUUUACACGGAUAACUGUGGUAAUUCUAGAGCUAAUACGUGCAACCAGCUCGCUUCCUUGUGGAGCGAGCGCAGUUAUUAGAACAAGACCAAUCCGGCCUUCGGGUCGGUACAUUUGGUGACUCUGAAUAACCGAAGCGGAGCGCAUGGUCUCGUACCGGCGCCAGAUCUUUCAAGUGUCUGACUUAUCAGCUUGUUGUUAGGUUAUGUUCCUAACAAGGCUUCAACGGGUAACGGGGUAUCAGGGUCCGAUACCGGAGAGGGAGCCUGAGAAACGGCUACCACAUCCAAGGAAGGCAGCAGGCGCGCAAAUUACCCACUCCUAGCACAGGGAGGUAGUGACGAAAAAUAACGAUGCGGGGUCUUAUAGAUUCCCGUAAUCGGAAUGGGUACACUUUAAAUCCUUUAACGAGGAUCUAUUGGAGGGCAAGUCUGGUGCCAGCAGCCGCGGUAAUUCCAGCUCCAAUAGCGUAUAUUAAAGUUGCUGCGGUUAAAAAGCUCGUAGUUGGAUCUGGGCUUCUGAAUGGAUGGUGCGCUUUUCGGUGCUACUGUCCGUUUGGUGCCACAAGUCGGCCAUGUAGUGCAUGCCCUUCAUUGGGUGUGCAUUGCGACCGAAACGUUUACUUUGAAAAAAUUAGAGUGCUCAAAGCAGGCGUACGGCCUUGCAUAAUGGUGCAUGGAAUAAUGGAAUAGGACCUCGGUUCUAUUUUGUUGGUUUUCGGAACUCGAGGUAAUGAUUAAUAGGAACAGACGGGGGCAUUCGUAUUGCGGCGUUAGAGGUGAAAUUCUUGGAUCGUCGCAAGACGAACUA